AUUUCUAUAGUUGAAUAACAACGGUGGUUUUUCAUAUCAUCAGUCAUGGUUAAAUUCCAUGUGGAAAUA
rnacentral:tRNA from 1 species